UACGUAGGGGGGCAAGCGUUGUCCGGAUUUACUGGGCGUAAAGAGCGUGUAGGCGGCCAAGCAGGUCCGUUGUGAAAACUGGAGGCUCAACCUUCAGAGGUCGACCGAAACCAUCUGGCUAGAGUCCGGGAGAGGAGAGUGGAAUUCCCGGUGUAGCGGUGAAAUGCGCAGAUAUCGGGAGGAACACCAGUAGCGAAGGCGGCGUUCUGGACUGCAACUGACACUGAGGAACGAAAGCCAGGGGAGCAAACGGG
rnacentral:rRNA from 1 species